UUGAAAGGGAAACGAUUGAAGUCAGUCGUACCAGCGGGAAAUCAACCUUUCGAGUGGGGUUUUGGAGUUUUGAAGAGUGUCAAAACCCUUUGAGAUUUCAAAAUUUUCGCUCCUUUGGUGUACUUUCUCGUGGGUAGGUUAACAUCGAUUUCGAUCAUCAUAAAAGGAUUGGAGGAAUGUAGCUUCGAUCUUGUAUUGAAGUGUUAUAGCCUUUGGUAAAUGUGAUGAUUAGGAUCGAGGAUUGCAACGAAUACCCUUUUGGGCUAUCCGCCUGAUCUCUGAUACGUGGCCUUGGUAUCGAAAGCUUGCUUAUGGUAUUAAGGUAUUACGGUCAAAAGGUUAGAACGGAUUACAUUCGUUAAGGAUGUUGACGUA
rnacentral:rRNA from 1 species